CUCGUAGGCGGUUCGUCGCGUCCGGUGUGAAAGUCCAUCGCUUAACGGUGGAUCUGCGCCGGGUACGGGCGGGCUGGAGUGCGGUAGGGGAGACUGGAAUUCCCGGUGUAACGGUGGAAUGUGUAGAUAUCGGGAAGAACACCAAUGGCGAAGGCAGGUCUCUGGGCCGUUACUGACGCUGAGGAGCGAAAGCGUGGGUAGCGAACA
rnacentral:rRNA from 1 species